rnacentral:rRNA from 1 species
GGAAUUUUGCGCAAUGGGGGAAACCCUGACGCAGCAACGCCGCGUGACCGCAGAAGCCCUUCGGGGUGUAAAGGUCUGUCAGUGGGGACGAACGAUGACGGUACCCACAGAGGAAGCACCGGCUAACUCCGUGCCAGCAGCCGCGGUAAUACGGGGGGUGCGAGCGUUGUCCGGAAUCAUUGGGCGUAAAGAGUUCGUAGGUGGUAUGUUAAGUCUGGUGUUAAAGGCAGAGGCUCAACUUCUGUAUGGCACUGGAUACUGGCAAACUUGAAUGCGGUAGAGGUAAAGGGAAUUCCUGGUGUAGCGGUGAAAUGCGUAGAUAUCAGGAGGAACAUCGGAGGCGUAAGCGCUUUACUGGGCCGUAAUUGACACUGAGGAACGAAAGCCGGGGUAGCAAAUG